GACGAAGACAAAUCAUCAAAGGAAGAUGAGAAAUGAGGCAUUCCGAGCUCGAUUUCCAGCCAGAAUUCGUUAUGAUUUAUUAUCAAAUUCCUCACCCUUCUCCGCCCUCUCUAAAUUGGUUAUCUUUCAUGGCAAAAUAUAUGGUAUCUCCAGUGUGCCCAUUCUGGACUUCGAUAUCUCAUCUUCUUCAUUGUCAAACAAAGGCCGUACAAGUCCUUCAUGUGUGAGAGGAGAGAAACAGUAGC
rnacentral:misc_RNA from 1 species